GAGCCAGAAGUUUGAAGCAAAUGAACAGACUAAAAAGGAGGCUAUUUAAUUUAUAAUAGGUGCUAUAAGGUAAUCUGGACUUCUCUCAGGAUUCCUUUCUGGCUUUGUUAUCAUGAAGUGACCCUGAGAAGCUGUUAUAUUCAAGAGCAAGCUGGAGAACUGCUGCAAUAUCUAUAUGUGUCCAGGGGAAUUCUUUGUGGGUGGGCAGAUCAAAUGCUUUACAGCUAAAGCUCAACACCUGCAAAUCUUGGCAAUUUGGAUCCAUGACAACUUGAAGGGAGGAGGGGGAAAAUGCCUCUUGACACAGUCAUCUAAAGUGCUGCUAAGAAAAUAGUCUCUUGUGAAAAUAUACCUCCUGUGACUGAGGUUUGCUUAGGAGUGGAAUCGGAGUUCUCAGGUGCUACAGAAGUGCCUGUUAUCUUUAUCCCAGUGAUCCCAAACAACGUGGAAUAACCUUGCUGAUUCUGCAGGUUUAAGACAAGAAAAAUGUCAUGGCUUUGUUUAAAACAUCACAUUCUUAGCCUGUAUCUCCCCCAGCUAAUGCUUUUUAAUUUUUUUUUUCUGUCUUGGUUUGAUAUUGGUUGUGGGAGGUGUUGUUUGUUUUGCUGUUUUUAACAAUACUUUAGAAGGACUAUAUUUUUGUAGUAAGGAAACCAUUUUGUUUAGGAAACCAUUUCCAAAUUUCAAGAUGGAAACCUGGAAGAGAUGAUAUAAUUCAGUUGAGCCUGGGUUUGGAUUUCUUUUCCUGCUCUAGCUGCUGCUGAAUAGAGACUGUUUUGUUUUCUGCUGUAAUCCAGGCAGAGACAGGAGGCAGAAGGCUGGUUCCCAAACCUCUGCUGAACAUACAAGGAGUUUUUAACCAGAUCUGCCUGUUCCUGUGCUUUAAAACAUUAUAUUACCACACAAUUUUAAUGUUUACCCUGAUGGGAAGAGGGAAAUAUUUUAAAAUAGAAGUGAUAAAGAACUGGGAAAAUAUAUUUCUUGAUCAUCUCUGGCUCAAAAUCUACUUGUGGUUGUAAGGUGAGAACAACAGUGCUGUCCCCUUUCCAUCCUCACAGUCAUCAGCCGUUGUAAGUGCUUCUCUGUGCUGAAUUUUUAUGGGUGUUAAAGAUCUACAUGUUCCUUUCACUUCAUCCGGAGUUAUGAGCAUUUGCUGACUUUCCAAAUAUUGGAGCUGAAAUGAAAAAUUCCACUCCACUCUUUACUGCCUAGUAGUAUGCAGUGCCAACACAAAGGUUGGUAAAAUACCAGGGGUGUGCAUGAAGUCAGUUUUAAGUGUUAUGAAAGUUCUCAAAUCCAAACAGAUUUUCUUGUAACACUGGAAUGUAUGGGUUGGAUGCCUCUAGACACAGGAAGUUAAUUGAUAUGGAUAUAAUUAAAGGUUAA